UCUAGGGAUUCAUCUUCUUUAAGCCAACGCGUCCGUCCCCUUCAAUUUCUCACCCUCGUAAGCACUGCGACGCCACUCCUCCGCCGUAUCUUCCGCCGCUGCCGUUCCUGCUCCGCACUGUACCUCCACAAUUCCUAGUAUUCAACACAACGUGUAGAUUUUUCUUACGCCAUUUUCUAAUGGCGUCGUCGAUGAAAUUCACUGAUUGCUCCCCUUCCACUACUGUUCGUCUUUUUCCCUCUGCUCGAACCAGGCUUCCGAGCUUCGAUGGCGCUGUUCUCUUUCACCGCCUUCUUGACCGUUCGCGCCCUGCCUUCCCUAGAACUUUCGUUUCUCGCUCUUCGGCUUCAACUUUGCCUGUCAUCUCUGCUUCAAUUUCAACCGAAGCAACUGCAGAAGUGAUUGAUGGAAAAUUGGUGGCAAAGCAGAUCAGAGAAGAGAUUACUGCUGAAGUAUCUCGAAUGAAGGAUGCCAUUGGUGUUGUUCCAGGCUUAGCAGUCAUCCUUGUAGGAGAUAGGAAGGAUUCUGCAACUUAUGUACGAAAUAAGAAAAAAGCUUGUGAAUCUGUGGGUAUUAAAUCUUUUGAAGUAAACUUACCCGAAGAUUGCACCGAGCAAGAAGUACUCAAGUAUAUAUCUGACUUCAAUGAUGAUCCAUCCGUCCAUGGAAUUCUUGUUCAGUUACCUCUACCUAAACACAUGAACGAACAGAAUAUAUUGCAUGCUGUUAGUAUUGAAAAAGAUGUAGAUGGAUUUCACCCACUAAACAUCGGUCGUCUUGCAAUGAGAGGUGAAGAACCAUUGUUUGUUCCAUGUACGCCAAAAGGGUGUAUUGAAUUGCUGCAUAGGUAUAACAUUGGUAUCAAAGGGAAGAGAGCCGUUGUAAUUGGGCGAAGCAAUAUUGUAGGAACUCCAGCUGCUCUUUUGCUUCAAGGAGAAGAUGCAACGGUCAGCGUCGUUCAUUCUAGAACCAAGGACCCUGAAGAGUUAACAAGACAAGCUGAUAUUAUCAUAUCUGCAGUUGGCAAAGCCAAUAUGGUCAAGGGCAGUUGGAUAAAGCCCGGAGCAGUUAUUAUUGACGUCGGAAUCAAUCCAGUAGAGGAUGCAAGUAGUCCUCGUGGAUAUCGGCUAGUUGGAGAUGUUUGUUAUGAGGAGGCCAGCAAAAUUGCUUCAGCCAUAACUCCGGUACCUGGGGGAGUUGGACCAAUGACUAUAGCAAUGCUGCUUUCAAACACACUUACAGCAGCCAAAAGAACACAUAACUUCCAGUAAAAUGUUGGAAGCUUAUUAUAAUUUCAUGGAAAGCUUCCGUUUAGGAAGGACGAAGCGGUAGAAUAAUAACCCCCCAUCUUGAUGGAAAUAAAAUUUGCAGCUAUAUGUGAAAGGUAAAUGGGCAGAAUGGUGACCACACUUAAAAGAACUUCUCUAUUCUUCCAAGGGAUGGAUUUUGUAACUUAAAGGACUUUUGGCUCUUAAACAAGUUGACAUGAUCACGGAAUCAGACAGUCUUAAUAAAUACCUUGGGUCGAUCCAUAGAGCUUGCAAAGUAGCCCAUUCCAAACGAAAGGGAAGAAUAAGCAGCAGCAAUCUCCACAGCUUUCAACUUCUGUUGAUUUCCUGGGGCCUGUGGCAACAACACUUAGAUACAUAAUCAUUGUUAAAUGAAAUGACAAGAAGUGUGUUCAUUCAGUAGGUCACCAAUUUAGAAGCAUCGGCCUGGACAAGUAAAAUCCCAGCACUCUUAUCUGCAUUAUGUUGACUGCUUUCUUGAACAAAAUUGCGUAGAACUUUCAUGCAAGCAGAGGCGGGACCUGCCUGUGAUCUGAGUGAAGCGUAUAUAGCAAUGUCAAACAAAAAUAACAGACUUUACAAGGUUAACUAGUCAGCACAUAUUUAAAAUGUUUCAUGUGGAAACAGUAAGACCCUAAUAAAAAAAAAAAGGCAACGAACGGAAUGAUAUUCAGAUGGACAUUUUAUCUUAUCAACCAUAUAUUUUUCUCAUUAAA